AAAGAGCAUACUUGCAAGAAUUGGUGGAUACCUUCUCUUGUGUCUGUCUGCACUUCGCUUGUGUUUGUGUCUUUGGUUCAGGUUAAGAUUUGCAGUUACUGGAAGGUGUCCAGGCAGUUGCAAAGAGAGAAGAAUAAUGAUAGAGCUCUUACUAAGUGUAUUCAAGAGUUGAGAAUGGAAGGGGCUAGUUUUGAUUUGUCUAAGGAACCAGUGAGUGGAAAGAGAAUGAAGAGCUCAAGCGUUGAGAUCAAAUGGAAGCCAUUUACUUGGUGUUCCCAGUAUUUGAUUACAAUUUGUCUUGUUUCUUUCUCAUGUUUGGUGUUUCCUGCUUCCAAAUUCAUCCUUUGCGGGUUCUGAUCAGGGAAGCCUGCUAGCUUGUGGAUUUCUCCAAGUCAGCGUCUAAGCAUGAAGGCACUCAAUUCAUCAGAUAAUUUGCCCCCUGGUGCUCUCUUAUAAGCUGUUGAGGUUUGACAGAAAGCUUUGUUCCUGCAGUUUGUACGUAAUGAUCUUGUUUAAUCUACAACAACAAAGAAUUUGCUGGCUCGGUUCUCUGAUCAAUUACUUGAAGAUCUCUUGUGCACCAUUGAUCAUACAAGUACUUGCAGUGCUGGAAAUUGAGAGGCUUGAUAAUGGCAUUGCCUAAUCUCAUCAAGGGGAUGAAGCAUUUCGGUCCGAUCAUUUGUUAGUUGGAUUCAUAAUUUUACGGGCUAAAAAGGAAAUCGGUCAUAUCGUUCCUCCCUGAAUUCCAGUGCGGAUACCGGAUCAACGAUGCCAACGCCGCUUCCCUUCUGUCAAGUGCAACUUCAAUCAUCUUGGUUCCGGGGUUCAAAGAACUUCAAUCAUGUGGCAGCAUCAAUUUUCUGCAAUGUUAACGUUGAGCAAACACUAAGGAUGCCAUUAGCUCACAUCGGCUGAAUCAAGAAUCUUAUUGGACACAAGUCAUCUCUUUCUCAGGAGGAUCCUUUAUAAGGACAGGACAAAGUUCAGGACAUGGCUUUGGGCUAUUAGCUAAGACAAUAUCUCUUGAAAAGCCUACAAUAUAUAGGUAUAACCGAUAGAUGUGGGCAUACAUUAUUAUUAAUAUCGUAUGUAGAGACACCAGGCAGGCAUAUUGGGUUAUUCAAACUUCUCAUCUAGGAGAGAUUAUGAUAAUGUCACCAUCUCACUUCAAUUAGGAGAGAAGAGUCUCAGUUGUUUAUAUAGUAGAUUACUUUCUCUCCUCGAGAUAUGCCUUUUCAAUAAUAAAAUUCAAUAUGUGGACCUGACCCGUCAGACUAAGACAAUAUCUCUCGGGAGCCUACCUUGUACAGGUGUGGGCAUACAUUAUUAGAGAUGAAUCGGGGCAUCCUUGUUUAGCUAGAAGAUUAAGGAUCUGUUAAUUUGAUGAUAUGAUAGUGUGAUGAACAGUUGAGUUAUGAUUGAAACUGAUAAUUUUAUCUUCGGCUAUAAUUUUAAAAAUAUUUGGUUUAAA